rnacentral:misc_RNA from 1 species
AAGUCGUAACAAGGUUUCCGUAGGUUAACCUGCGGAAGGAUCAUUAACUAAAUCCGCACACAACAUGUGUGCAUAAACCUUGUGAAUUGCCGCGAACACUGAUGGAAUUCUUGAUGUGUUCGCGGAUAGUUGGAGAAAUCUAACGAUCUAUAACUUAGAGUCUGAAUUUUUUAAAAUAUAAAAAAACAACUUUUAACAACGGAUCUCUAGGCUCUU